rnacentral:rRNA from 1 species
UACGAAGGGGGCUAGCGUUGCUCGGAAUUACUGGGCGUAAAGGGCGCGUAGGCGGACGUUUAAGUCAGAGGUUAAAUCCCAGGGCUCAACCCUGGAACUGCCUUUGAUACUGGACGUCUUGAGUACGGGAGAGGUGUGUGGAACUCCGAGUGUAGAGGUGAAAUUCGUAGAUAUUCGGAAGAACACCAGUGGCGAAGGCGACACACUGGCCCGUUACUGACGCUGAGGCGCGAAAGCGUGGGGAGCAAACAGG